CUAUGGGUCUCCAGGUUUCCAUUGUCCCCUAUGGGUUUCUGUUCAGUAUUUCUCUCUAGCGCCCCCUAGCGGCGGUCCUCCCUCUGCUCCAUAGCGCCCCCUAGCGGCGGUCCUCCCUCUGCUCCAUAGCGCCCCCUAGCAGCGGUCCUCCCACUGCUCCAUAGCUCCCCCUAUGUGUCUCCAGGUCUUCAUUGUACCCUAUGGGUUUCUGUUCAGUAUUUCUCUUUAGCGCCCCCUAGCGGCGGUCCUCCCUCUGCUCCAUAGCGCCCCCUAGUGGCGGUCCUCCCACUGCUCCAUAGCGCCCCCUAGAGGCAGUCCUCCCACUGCUCCAUAGCGCCCCCUAUGGGUCUCCAGGUUUCCAUUGUCCCCAUGGGUUUCUGUUCAGUAUUUCUCCAUAGCGCCCCCUAGCGGCGGUCCUCCCACUGCUCCAUAGCGCCCCCUAGCGGCGGUCCUCCCACUGCUCCAUAGCGCCCCCUAGCGGCGGUCCUCCCACUGCUCCAUAGCGCCCCCUAGCGGCUGUCCUCCAACUGCUCCAUAGCGCCUCCUAUGGGUCUCCAUGUCUCCAUUGUCCCCUAUGGGUUUCUGUUCAGUAUUUCUCCAUAGCGCCCCCUAGCGGCGGUCCUCCCACUGCUCCAUGGCGUCCCCUAGCGGCGGUCCUCCCACUGCUCCAUAGCGCCCCCUAUGGGUCUCCAGAUUUCCAUUGCCCCCUAUGGAUUUCUGUUCAGUAUUUCUCUCUAGCGCCCCCUAGCGGCGGUCCUCCCACCGCUCCAUAGCGCCCCCUAGAGGCAGUCCUCCCAUUGCUCUAUAGCGCUCCCUAUGGGUCUCCAUGUCUCCAUUGCCCCCUAUGGGUUUCUGUUCAGUAUUUCUCUCUAGCGCCCCCUAGCGACGGUCCUCCCACCGCUCCAUAGCGCCCCCUAUGGGUCUCCAUGUCUCCAUUGUCCCCUAUGGGUUUCUGGUCAGUUUUUCUCCCUAGCGCCCCCUAGCGGCGGUCCUCCCAUCUCUCCAUAGCGCCUUCCAGUGGUCAUCCUGGCAUUGCUCCAUAGCGCCCCCUAGCGGCGGUCCUCUCACCGCUCCAUAGCGCCC
rnacentral:lncRNA from 1 species